rnacentral:lncRNA from 7 species
AUUCAGAGGAGUAGUCAGAGUGGGCAAUGCUCUAUAGCCCUUUGUAUCCUGGAACAACACGGUUACUGAAGUGCCUCUAAAAGGAUACCAAACCAAAUUCAGGAUCUCGCUCUCAACUUUCUAUCUGCAAGUCUGAGCUUGCUCAGCUGGAGAGGCUACCAGAAGCUCCAAGGUAAAAUCAGUAACUUUGCUCCUUGGGCAGAAGUAGACCCUUGACCCAGAACUUAACCCUAAAGCAAUUAAGCACUCACUGGUCAUCAUCUUGGACUGGGCAAAGACACCAAGUUGCAAUGACUACAAGUCAUCAGAGGGCUCAUCUUGGCCACCAAGCUUUCUCCAGAACAAAGCCACAGCAGCAUCCAGGGCUGUGUACCGUCCUUGCAAAGUUCUUCAGCUCUUCAGGUGAACAACAGAAGAAGAGGAGACUUGCUGAGUCAGUCUCUGCUUCCCUAUGGCUGCUGCUUAUCUCACAGUCACCUUUGUCUUUGAAAGCCUUCUUGACCCAGGAGGAAAUUUAAUGAAUCAGCAGCGAAUGCCUGCUGGCUGAGAGCAGAAGGUUUAUGAUGGAGUAGACUUGUAAUCGAGACCUAAGUGUUAGAAUGACUAAGAGUGAAUGGCUGAUGGGACACACGCUCUCCUUGAAAGCUUCUGCGUGCUGGAGGCAGGACCAGCAUAUGGUGAACAGUAUUGCUGAAACAAACCUACUUUUCUCUUCAUAAAAGAUAUACAAUAGUGAAAGGAUAUUUUUACAACUGUUUGCGUGUAUGUUUUGUUGGUGGGUGGUUGGUUGGGUUUUUUUUUGACUGAAGUUAUUUAGGGACACAUAGAAGUUCCAUUGCUUUCAGUCAGAUAGCAGGUGUGUGACUGCUCUUGAACAGUUGCAUCAGCUUUGUGACAAUUAGGAUCUGUAUUUUCAACGUGUGCACUGAAAGUUUUGCUCCCCUUCAGACAGAAGGGUUUAGAUGUUUUUGAUGCUAAAAUUAGAAUGCUGAAAGGUUUUAGGAACACCCGUGCCUUUGAUUUGAUUAGCUGAGCUCUGAUCCUCAUUGAGGUUUGGUACGGGAAACCUCUAAAUGAUUUGGAUAGCUUCGUAUGUUUAUAUGUUUUUCUACCUUGUGUUGCUGAUAUCUGGCACUUCCUAUAGCUAGAUGGUAUUUGCAUAUUGUAUAUAAUUAUUGUUUAUGUACAUUAUGUUGCAUUUCUGACUUAAACGGAUCAUUACAAAAGCUGUUAAGUUCCACAAAGUAGCUCUGCAGUGUAAAAUGCCACCAUGUAAAUUAUGGCAUAAUUAUCAUGUGUUUCUUAUACUGUGGGCCAUUUGCUUGUACCACGGAAGUGU